GUGAAUCAUCAAAUUUUUGAACGCACAUUGCACUCCCUGGUAUUCCGGAGAGUAUGCCUAUUUGAGGGUCAUUUGAAAUAAUAUAAAUUAUAAGAUUUUUAGGAAUUUAAAAUGGGUUGUUCAUUUUUUGUGGUCGUCUAAAAUCUAAGACAAGCUCAUUUUAUUGGGUUGAGUGAUAAUUUCAGUUAGCUCGUGAUUUAACCAGAAAUGUUCGGGUGGGUUAUGGA
rnacentral:misc_RNA from 1 species